rnacentral:tRNA from 1 species
GCCUGGGUGGCUUAGUCGGUUAGGCAUCUGACUUCGGCUCAGGUCACGGUCUUGUGGUUCGUGAGUUCGAGCCCCGCAUCGGGCU